GCGGAGCGGAGGGCUGCAAGCGACAAUGCCCUUGGGGAUCGAGCAGCCGAGCACCGCGAUGGCGGCGGCCGCAUGCGGGGAGCGGGGGAGGAUUCGGCGAGGGACGAGCGCCGCACCACGCGCAUGCGCCGCAUGCCCGCAGCAGCAACGCCGGCCUAGGCCAUAGGCCUGGUAGCUGGUGCGCCUGCCCCGGAGCCCCGGAGCGCUGGCCGGCUACCCUGCGUGGCUGCACUGCACAAUGAUUUCAUGGAGGGGGAGCCACGGCAACGGGACGCAGGGAUUAUGGAUCCAUCCCUGUCGAGCUUCGUGGUGUUAGAAAGCAAAGAUUCAAGACACCAAGUGACGUGUUCUUAUUUCUGAAAUUUCAGUCUCUUAUAUACAAGCAGCUCUACACGUUGAUUACUGAAGAAUCAUUCUACACAUUUUGUUGCAGUGAUCUGUACAUGCAGAUAAAGACAAGUUAUGAUGCUUGUGUGCUGGCGCAGGCGGCAGGUAUUCCUAUGCUUCUCCAUUGCAUCAAAUAUUUGCAUAGCAUGCUUUAUGAUAACAUAACAAUUUGACCUUUGUUCUGCAUUGAGAGGUCCUAUUUAAAUUUUCUGAUUAUCAAUUCUAUCGAUUGGUUAUAAUAUAUCAUCUAAGUAGCAUGGGUACUAUACUAUGAGGUACCAAUCUGAUACUAUAAUUCUUGUUUCUUUCCCAAUUAUAGAUGAAUGCAAAUUUAGUUGUUUCAAUUUGUAGACAUAAAACACAUGCUAUAUGACUGGGUAAAGAUUUACUGGCACACCUUUUCCUUUUAGACAUAAACACAUACUAGAAUGUGCUUCUGGUAUGCUUUUUGGAGUGUGCAAAAUACAUUUCUUUAUGUUAUUGCCAGGGAUGAAUUUUGCAUUACUUGGAGGGGGUAGGGUUUAGGGUUUGUCGUCAAUUGUAAGGUAAUAUGUAAUAUGAUUGACAAUUGGGCCUAGGCCCUCCAUCCUCCACAUGACACUGACUAAGUGCCUAAUGCUCAAUCUGAGGCAUGCCAAAUGCUCUUUGCUCAGAUAGGCACUAUUUAUCACAACAAAAAUUAGUUUUUUACUUGUAUUAUUAAUUUAUCAUGCUCCAUUGUUUAGGCCUUUUGAUUUUACAGCACAUAGCCUUGUACAAAUCUGCCAGUCGUCCCAGAUGAACUGGGAAAUGUACAUCUAAAUGAACUCAUACCUUUAAGCUCAAUUUAGCAAUCUGUCUGAUGACUGAACUCUGCAGCUUGGCUUGACCAAAAAUGGUUCUGAAGAUGACUGGUAUAACAUGGUUGUUUAUGGAUCACCCAAAGACCACAGAGGGGUCAACGGUUCACCGCAGCAUAUAACAUGUGGAAAGGAGCGCCCUCACGUGCUCUAUUUUUCUUUGAUUUUGAGUGCCAUAUGUUGCACUAAAACGAUUAAGCAUUCACAUCCUAAGGCCUUUGUGUUAUUUUCACUUAACCUCUGUAGCCCAUAUAAUUUCAUUCAGUGUGAGCUCAUACAACAGUAUAUAGUGCUGGCACUCUGGUGAUGGUAAGGAAUGAGGUUGGUCAGUUGCUUAUCUCGAAUAAUCAUAAGAUCCAUUCUUCUCAAUGUGAGCUAUUCUGUAAAGGUUGGGUCAUGCUAACAUCACAAAAUUGACAUCUGAGCUGCAAGAAUGGGGCUUUCAAUCCAGAGAUUUUUCUCUCUCACUAUUGUGAUAUUGAUUUGCAAUACAGCCCCGUUGUCAAUCAAGUAUAUAGGAAAGAAAUGGUUCCUGAGAGCAAUGGAUUUCUUUUGCCAAAUGAUUGAGGUGGAUGUAAGAGUUUCUGGGUUUAUUGUAUUGUAGCCUACAGAGAAUUGUAAAUUAAUAAGAAUGCUGAUCCUUUGAGAAUCUGUAUAAUUGUAUUUUCACUUUCCUUUUA